AACGAACGCUGGCGGCAGGCCUAACACAUGCAAGUCGAGCGCACCUUCGGGUGAGCGGCGGACGGGUUAGUAACGCGUGGGAACGUGCCCUUUUCUGCGGAAUAGCCACUGGAAACGGUGAGUAAUACCGCAUACGCCCUUCGGGGGAAAGAUUUAUCGGAGAAGGAUCGGCCCGCGUUAGAUUAGGUAGUUGGUGGGGUAAUGGCCUACCAAGCCUACGAUCUAUAGCUGGUUUGAGAGGAUGAUCAGCAACACUGGGACUGAGACACGGCCCAGACUCCUACGGGAGGCAGCAGUGGGGAAUCUUAGACAAUGGGGGCAACCCUGAUCUAGCCAUGCCGCGUGAGUGAUGAAGGCCUUAGGGUCGUAAAGCUCUUUCGCUGGGGAUGAUAAUGACAGUACCCAGUAAAGAAACCCCGGCUAACUCCGUGCCAGCAGCCGCGGUAAU
rnacentral:rRNA from 1 species